AACUUUUGGCAACGGAUCUCUUGGCUCUCGCAACGAUGAAGAACGCAGCGAAAUGCGAUAAGUAGUGUGAAUUGCAGAAUUCAGUGAAUCAUCGAAUCUUUGAACGCACAUUGCGCUUCCUGGUAUUCCGGGGAGCAUGCUCGUUUCAGAAUCAUUA
rnacentral:rRNA from 1 species